UACGGGGGGGGCAAGCGUUGUUCGGAAUUACUGGGCGUAAAGGGCUCGUAGGCGGCCAACUAAGUCAGACGUGAAAUCCCUCAGCUUAACUGGGGAACUGCGUCUGAUACUGGAUGGCUUGGAUCCGGGAGAGGGAUGCGGAAUUCCAGGUGUAGCGGUGAAAUGCGUAGAUAUCUGGAGGAACACCGGUGGCGAAGGCGGCAUCCUGGACCGGUAUUGACGCUGAUGCGCGAAAGCCAGGGGAGCAAACGGG
rnacentral:rRNA from 1 species